AAAGUCGUAACAAGGUCUCCGUUGGUGAACCAGCGGAGGGAUCAUUACAGAGUUGCAAAACUCCCAAACCAUCGUGAACGUUACCUAUAUCGUUGCUUCGGCGGGCGGCGCGCCCGGAGGGGUCCUAACCGGCCCCCCCGCGGUCCGCCCUCGGCCCCACCGUGGGGCCCGCCGGAGGUCUACCAAACUCUGAAUUUAUAUGGCCUCUCUGAGUCUUCUGUACUGAAUAAGUCAAAACUUUCAACAACGGAUCUCUUGGUUCUG
rnacentral:misc_RNA from 1 species